rnacentral:rRNA from 1 species
AUUGAACGCUAGCGGGAUGCCUUACACAUGCAAGUCGAACGGAGCGGCGAACGGGCGAGUAAUGUAUAGGAACGUGCCCAGUAGCGGGGGAUAACUACGCGAAAGCGUAGCUAAUACCGCCUAAUAUCGGAGCGGCCGAUAUCGGAUUAGCUAGUUGGUGGGGUAAGGGCUCACCACGGCGACGAUCCGUAGCUGGCUUGAGGGGAAGACCAGCCACACUGGGACUGAGACACGGCCCAGACUCCUACGGGAGGCAGCAGUGGGGAAUUUUGGACAAUGGGGGAAACCCUGAUCCAGCCAUGCCGCGUGUGCGAUGAAGGCCUUCGGGUUGUAAAGCACUUUUGGCAGGAAAGCGGUACCUGCAGAAUAAGCACCGGCUAACUACGUGCCAGCAGCCGCGGUAAUUC